AUUGAACGCUGGCGGCAGGCCUAACACAUGCAAGUCGAGCGGAUGAUGGGAGCUUGCUCCCGGAUUCAGCGGCGGACGGGUGAGUAAUGCCUAGGAAUCUGCCUGGUAGUGGGGGACAACGUUUCGAAAGGAACGCUAAUACCGCAUACGUCCUACGGGAGAAAGCAGGGGACCUUCGGGCCUUGCGCUAUCUUAUGAGCCUAGGUCGGAUUANCUANUUGGUGGGGUAAAGGCCUACCAAGGCGACGAUCCGUAACUGGUCUGAGAGGAUGAUCAGUCACACUGGAACUGAGACACGGUCCAGACUCCUACGGGAGGCAGCAGUGGGGAAUAUUGGACAAUGGGCGAAAGCCUGAUCCACCCAUGCCGCGUGUGUGAAGAAGGU
rnacentral:rRNA from 1 species